GAUGAACGCUGGCGGCGUGCCUAAUACAUGCAAGUCGAGAGAACGGACGAGAAGCUUGCUUCUCUGAUGUUAGCGGCGGACGGGUGAGUAACACGUGGAUAACCUACCUAUAAGACUGGGAUAACUUCGGGAAACCGGAGCUAAUACCGGAUGAUAUUUUGAACCGCAUGGUUCAAAAGUGAAAGACGGUCUUGCUGUCACUUAUAGAUGGAUCCGCGCUGCAUUAGCUAGUUGGUAAGGUAACGGCUUACCAAGGCAACGAUGCAUAGCCGACCUGAGAGGGUGAUCGGCCACACUGGAACUGAGACACGGUCCAGACUCCUACGGGAGGCAGCAGUAGGGAAUCUUCCGCAAUGGGCGAAAGCCUGACGGAGCAACGCCGCGUGAGUGAUGAAGGUCUUCGGAUCGUAAAACUCUGUUAUUAGGGAAGAACAUAUGUGUAAGUAACUGUGCACAUCUUGACGGUACCUAAUCUGAAAGCCACGGCUAACUACGUG
rnacentral:rRNA from 1 species